CCUACGGGAGGCAGCAGUGAGGAAUAUUGGUCAAUGGGCGCGAGCCUGAACCAGCCAAGUCGCGUGAGGGAAGACGGUCCUAUGGAUUGUAAACCUCUUUUGUCGGGGAGCAAAAGACGCCACGCGUGGCGUUCCGAGAGUACCCGAAGAAAAAGCAUCGGCUAACUCCGUGCCAGCAGCCGCGGUAAUUCGGGGGAUGCGAGUGGUAUACGGAUUUAGUGGGUUAAAAGGGGGCGCAGGCGGAAGAUCAAGUCAGCGGGAAUAUUGAGAGGCUCAACCUCUUCGAGCCGUUGAAACUGGUUGUCUUGAGUGAGUGAGAAGUAUGCGGAAGGCGUGGUGUAGCGGUGGAAUGCAUAGAUAUCACGAAGAACUCCGAUUGCGAAGGCAGCAAACCGGCGCUCAACUGACGCUCAUGCACGAAAGUGUGGGUAUCGAACAGGAUUAGAUACCCGUGUAGUC
rnacentral:rRNA from 1 species